ACCAAGACCACCAACAACAACAAGACCACGACCACCACCACCAACAACAACAAGACCACCAACAACAACAUCUACUGCGGCUGCAGGAGAUUGUACAGGUUCUUGUGAUCUGGACUUGGUCAUGUUGGCUCUGCGUGUGGCUGAACUCCUCCUGAUUACUGUGAUCACUGUUCUUCUCUUCAGAGCUCGAGGGAACCAGAGACCACCUGAUGACAUCACUGUGUAUUAUGAUGGAGAUGAAGGCUCAGUGAACUAUGAAAAUGAUGGAGAACCUUCUGCUUCUGUCAGACUCCACUGAUCAACAACUUCCACACAAACAUCCACUCAGCAGAUACAUUAAUCCACCACUUUUAAUCAUUUCAAUAUCGUGCAGGUUUGCAGCAGGUAGAGAGAGAAACAGAGAGAGAGAGAUCAUCACUUGGUGAAUCUUCAGUUUUUGCCAACAUGGAAGAUAAUAUAUUUUUUUUUGUAGAAAGCUUCAUUUGUAUAAAGUUCUUCAUAUUUUUGAGUGCCUUUAAAUGUCAGUAUAACCAAAUUUUAAUCACUAUGUCAAAUUAACUUUCAUGUCUUAUUGUUGCUUCAAUAUAUUUGAUUGAAUGUGUAUAUUUUACUUAAAGGAGAUCUAUUAUCCUCACUUUCACCAUUAAUCAUGUCAGUCUGGGACACCUAUUGAGUAGUGUUGUGAGAUGUGUAACUCAUAAACUUUCUUAUUUAUGUCGGUAAAAUCCCUCAUAUCAGCCUCUGUGUGAAACGGUUCAUUUCAGCUGCUGUCUCUUUAAGACCCCCCCUCCUCACGUGCCCACUUUACUCUGAUUGUCCAGCUUUGCUGAAAACUUUCUGGGGGCAGAACCAAUGAGCUACUGGGUGGGCAACUCCUUCA